rnacentral:ncRNA from 2 species
AAGCCAUCCAGAGCAGCUGAGAGACCCGGCUCGUUGACGCUGCAGCAACCCCCCGAAUUCGGGUGAGGGUGCUAAGGCCGGGACCGAUGGAGG